rnacentral:rRNA from 1 species
GUGGGGAAUAUUGGACAAUGGGCGAAAGCCUGAUCCAGCCAUGCCGCGUGUGUGAAGAAGGUCUUCGGAUUGUAAAGCACUUUAAGUUGGGAGGAAGGGCAGUAAGUUAAUACCUUGCUGUUUUGACGUUACCAACAGAAUAAGCACCGGCUAACUUCGUGCCAGCAGCCGCGGUAAUACGAAGGGUGCAAGCGUUAAUCGGAAUUACUGGGCGUAAAGCGCGCGUAGGUGGUUUUGUAAGUUGGAGGUGAAAUCCCCGGGCUCAACCUGGGAACUGCCUCCAAAACUGCAUGACUAGAGUACGGUAGAGGGUAGUGGAAUUUCCUGUGUAGCGGCGAAAUGCGUAGAUAUAGGAAGGAACACCAGUGGCGAAGGCGACUACCUGGACUGAUACUGACACUGAGGUGCGAAAGCGUGGGGAGCAAACAGGAUUAGAAACCCUGGUAGUCC